GGGCUGGAGACGCGCGAUCUUGAGAAGGCACCCGUGGGAGGCAGGAAAUGGAGACCAGAGGUGAACCUGCAUGUUUUGGAAUGCAUUCCAUUCUAACUUAACCCCCAAGGAGCAGAAACCCAAGCUGGGAAGGAGGAGCCCCAGAAAGAGGGAGAAGGAGACUGCACUCUCUUCUCCCGCCAGAGGCCUCAAGCAGUUCUGAGCUGAAGGAAUAGAGCAGCUUCCUUGUGAGCAUUCCCCUAAUAUGUCACCUGCACCUGAAUGCAGGGCUCGGAUUCGGCUUCUGGUGGACCUGGCUGAAUCAGUCAAUAUCAGCUGGAUGAAUGAAGAACUUUUACUG
rnacentral:lncRNA from 10 species